AGAGUUUGAUCCUGGCUCAGAUUGAACGCUGGCGGCAUGCUUUACACAUGCAAGUCGGACGGCAGCACAGGGAAGCUUGCUUCUCGGGUGGCGAGUGGCGAACGGGUGAGUAACAUAUCGGAACGUACCGGGUAGCGGGGGAUAACUGAUCGAAAGAUCAGCUAAUACCGCAUACGUCUUGAGAGGGAAAGCAGGGGACCUUCGGGCCUUGCGCUAUCCGAGCGGCCGAUAUCUGAUUAGCUGGUUGGCGGGGUAAAGGCCCACCAAGGCGACGAUCAGUAGCGGGUCUGAGAGGAUGAUCCGCCACACUGGGACUGAGACACGGCCCAGACUCCUACGGGAGGCAGCAGUGGGGAAUUUUGGACAAUGGGCGCAAGCCUGAUCCAGCCAUGCCGCGUGUCUGAAGAAGGCCUUCGGGUUGUAAAGGACUUUUGUCAGGGAAGAAAAGGCCGUUGCCAAUAUCGGCGGCCGAUGACGGUACCUGAAGAAUAAGCACCGGCUAACUACGUGCCAGCAGCCGCGGUAAUACGUAGGGUGCGAGCGUUAAUCGGAAUUACUGGGCGUAAAGCGGGCGCAGACGGUUACUUAAGCAGGAUGUGAAAUCCCCGGGCUCAACCCGGGAACUGCGUUCUGAACUGGGUGACUCGAGUGUGUCAGAGGGAGGUGGAAUUCCACGUGUAGCAGUGAAAUGCGUAGAGAUGUGGAGGAAUACCGAUGGCGAAGGCAGCCUCCUGGGAUAACACUGACGUUCAUGUCCGAAAGCGUGGGUAGCAAACAGGAUUAGAUACCCUGGUAGUCCACGCCCUAAACGAUGUCAAUUAGCUGUUGGGCAACUUGAUUGCUUGGUAGCGUAGCUAACGCGUGAAAUUGACCGCCUGGGGAGUACGGUCGCAAGAUUAAAACUCAAAGGAAUUGACGGGGACCCGCACAAGCGGUGGAUGAUGUGGAUUAAUUCGAUGCAACGCGAAGAACCUUACCUGGUUUUGACAUGUGCGGAAUCCUCCGGAGACGGAGGAGUGCCUUCGGGAGCCGUAACACAGGUGCUGCAUGGCUGUCGUCAGCUCGUGUCGUGAGAUGUUGGGUUAAGUCCCGCAACGAGCGCAACCCUUGUCAUUAGUUGCCAUCAUUCGGUUGGGCACUCUAAUGAGACUGCCGGUGACAAGCCGGAGGAAGGUGGGGAUGACGUCAAGUCCUCAUGGCCCUUAUGACCAGGGCUUCACACGUCAUACAAUGGUCGGUACAGAGGGUAGCCAAGCCGCGAGGCGGAGCCAAUCUCACAAAACCGAUCGUAGUCCGGAUUGCACUCUGCAACUCGAGUGCAUGAAGUCGGAAUCGCUAGUAAUCGCAGGUCAGCAUACUGCGGUGAAUACGUUCCCGGGUCUUGUACACACCGCCCGUCACACCAUGGGAGUGGGGGAUACCAGAAGUAGGUAGGGUAACCGCAAGGAGCCCGCUUACCACGGUAUGCUUCAUGACUGGGGUGAAGUCGUAACAAGGUAGCCGUAGGGGAACCUGCGGCUG
rnacentral:rRNA from 4 species